AUUGAACGCUGGCGGCAGGCCUAACACAUGCAAGUCGAGCGAGCGGCGGACGGGUGAGUAAUGUCUGGGAAACUGCCUGAUGGAGGGGGAUAACUACUGGAAACGGUAGCUAAUACCGCAUACCAUCAGAUGUGCCCAGAUGGGAUUCGCUAGUAGGUGGGGUAAUGGCUAACCUAGGCGACGAGCCCUAGCGGGUCUGAGAGGAUGACCCGCCACAAGGGAACUGAGACACGGUCCAGAAUCAUACGGGAGGCAGCAGUGGGGAAUAGUGCACAAUGGGCGCAAGCCUGAUGCAGCCAUGCAGGGUGUGUGAAGAAGGCCUUCGGGGUGUAAAGCACUUUCAGCGGGGAGGCGUUACCCGCAGAAGAAGCACCGGCUAACUCCGUGCCAGCAGCCGCGGUAAUAC
rnacentral:rRNA from 1 species